CCUACGGGAGUCAGCAGUGAUGAAUAUUGGUCAAUGGGCGAGAGCCUGAACCAGCCAAGUCGCGUGAGGGAGUACUGCCCUAUGGGUUGUAAACCUCUUUUGUCGGGGAGCAAAAGCCGGACGUGUCCGGCUGUGAGAGUACCCGAAGAAAAAGCAUCGGCUAACUCCGUGCCAGCAGCCGCGGUAAUACGGAGGAUGCGAGCGUUAUCCGGAUUUAUUGGGGUUAAAGGGUGCGCAGGCGGAUUGUUAAGUCAGCGGUCAAAUCGUGGGGCUCAACCCCAUCCAGCCGUUGAAACUGGGGAUCUAGAGUGUGCGAGAGGUAUGCGGAAUGCGUGGUGUAGCGGUGAAAGGCAUAGAUAGCACGCAGAACCCCGAUUGCGAAGGCAGCAUACCGGUGCACAACUGACGCUCAGGCACGAAAGCGUGGGUAUCGAACAGGAUUAGAUACCCUGGUAGUC
rnacentral:rRNA from 1 species